rnacentral:rRNA from 1 species
AAACCAACAGGGAUUGCCCUAGUAACGGCGAGUGAAGCGGCAACAGCUCAAAUUUGAAAUCUGGCCUUCGGGUCCGAGUUGUAAUUUGUAGAGGAUGCUUUUGGCGCGGUGCCUUCCGAGUUCCCUGGAAUGGGACGCCUUAGAGGGUGAGAGCCCCGUAUGGUUGGACACCAAGCCUCUGUAAAGCUCCUUCGACGAGUCGAGUAGUUUGGGAAUGCUGCUCUAAAUGGGAGGUAAAUUUCUUCUAAAGCUAAAUAUUGGCCAGAGACCGAUAGCGCACAAGUAGAGUGAUCGAAAGAUGAAAAGCACUUUGAAAAGAGGGUUAAAUAGCACGUGAAAUUGUUGAAAGGGAAGCGUUUGCGACCAGACCUUUUCGUAGCGGAUCAUCCGGUGUUCUCACCGGUGCACUUCGCUUCGUUUAGGCCAGCAUCGGUUUCUGUAGGGGGAUAAAAGCUUGGGGAACGUAGCUCCCUCGGGAGUGUUAUAGCCCCUCGCAUAAUACCCUUAUGGGGACCGAGGACCGCGCUUUAUGCAAGGAUGCUGGCGUAAUGGUCGUCAACGAC